rnacentral:rRNA from 1 species
UAGGGAAUCUUUGGCAAUGGACGAAAGUCUGACCGAGCAACGCCGCGUGAGUGAAGAAGGUUUUCGGAUCGUAAAACUCUGUUGUUAGAGAAGAACAAGGACGUUAGUAACUGAACGUCCCCUGACGGUAUCUAACCAGAAAGCCACGGCUAACUACGUGCCAGCAGCCGCGGUAAUACGUAGGUGGCAAGCGUUGUCCGGAUUUAUUGGGCGUAAAGCGAGCGCAGGCGGUUUCUUAAGUCUGAUGUGAAAGCCCCCGGCUCAACCGGGGAGGGUCAUUGGAAACUGGGGGACUUGAGGGCAGAAGGGGAGAGGGGAAUUCCAGGUGUAGCGGUGAAAUGCGUAGAUAUAUGGAGGAACACCAGUGGCGAAGGCGGCUCUCUGGUCUGUAACUGACGCUGAGGCUCGAAAGCGGGGGGAGCAAACAGG